GAGGGUACAGCUCAGUGACAGAGUGUAUGCCUAGUACGCACAAGGUCCAGGGUUCAAUCCCCAGUACCUCCA
rnacentral:tRNA from 1 species